AGCGAACGCUGGCGGCGUGCUUAACACAUGCAAGUCGAGUGCGUAGCCCUUUGUAGCAAUACAGAGGGUGGGCGCACGGCGCACGGGUGAGUAACACGUGGGUAACCUGCCCUUCGGUGGGGAAUAACCCCGCGAAAGCGGGGCGUAAUUCCGCAUAACAUUCCGGGGACACAUGUUCUCGGACUCAAAGGAGUGAUUCGCCGGAGGAGGGGCCCGCGCCCGAUUAGCUUGUUGGUAGGGUAACGGCCACCAAGGCUUUGAUCGGUAGCCGGUCUGAGAGGAUGGCCGGCCACACUGGAACUGAGACACGGUCCAGACUCCUACGGGAGGCAGCAGUGGGGAAUCUUGCGCAAUGGGCGAAAGCCUGACGCAGCGACGCCGCGUGGGGA
rnacentral:rRNA from 1 species